rnacentral:rRNA from 1 species
GCCAAUCGCACCACAAAUACAAACAUACACCACCCAACUAAACAAACCAUUUGACAAGCCAAGUAGAUGCGAUCGAACAGUAUUUAAACCACACACAGUACCGCAAGGGAACCCCUAAAGCAAAAAACAGCAAAGAUUAACCCUUGUACCUUUUGCAUCAUGGUUUAGCAAGAACACAAGACAAAAAGAACUACAGCCUACCCCCCCGAAACCAGAUGAGCUACUUUUAAGCAGCCUAAUGGGCGCACCCGUCUCUGUAGCAAAAGAGUGGGAAGACUUAAAAGUAGAGGUGAAACGCUUAACGAAUCUGGAGAUAGCUGGCUACCUAAAAAAGAAUAUAAGUUCUACUUUAGAUCCACCCAACACACAAUAGUCAUCUAAAGACACUCAAUAGAGGUACAGCCCUAUUGAAACAGGAUACAACCUGAAUUUGAGAGGAAAGUAAAUAACAUCCACCAGUAGGCCUUAAAGCAGCCACCUAAAAAAAUAUCGUUAAAGAAUUACUCAAAUAAAGCCCAAACAAACACAAAACUCCAAACCAACUAAAGGUAAGCCUAUAAUCAUAGACAUUAUCAUGCUAAAACUAAUAAUGAGACGCCCUCUCUUCAACGCACCCGUCCGCUAGAACAGAAACUCUACUAGCAAUUAACAGACCACAAAAGGUAAACAACUACUCAAUACACACCUUCAUACUCACUGUGACACCAACACUGGGGCGUUAAAAAGAAAGAUCAACUACUAUAAAAGGAACUCGGCAAACAAAGACUUCAACUGUUUAACAAAAACAUAACCUUUAGCCAAACAAAUAUUAAAGGCAACGCCUGCCCGGUGAACUAUUAAACGGCCGCGGUACCCUAACCGUGCAAAGGUAGCGUAAUCAUUUGUCUAUUAAUUGUAGACCUGUAUGAAAGGCAAAAUGAAAGCCUAACUGUCUCUUAUAGUCAAUCAAUUAAACUGAUCUCCUAGUACAAAAGCUAGAAUACCAACAUAAGACCAGAAGACCCUGUGAAGCUUCAACUAACUCAUUAAACCCUAUAAUGACUACUUUUGGUUGGGGCGACCUUGGAAAAAAAGAAAACUUCCAAUAACACGACUUCACUCGUACCCCAGGCUCACAAGCCCACAUAGACCCAGUAUACCUGAUAAAUGAACCAAGUUACUCCAGGGAUAACAGCGCUAUCUUCUUCAAGAGCCCAUAUCAAAAAGAAGGUUUACGACCUCGAUGUUGGAUCAGGACAUCCUGGCGGUGUAGCCGCUGCCAAGGGUUCGUUUGUUCAACGACUAAUAGUCCUACGUGAUCUGAGUUCAGACCGGAGCAAUCCAGGUCAGUUUCUAUCUAUGAUCUGUUAUUUUUAGUACGAAAGGACCAAAAUAACAAAGCCAAUACCACACGCACGCUUUAAGGAAAUGUAAGCCCCAUAAAACAAUAAAAACAUUAACCUAUAUAAGGUUAUUAAGGCACACCCUUAGCCCUAA